UACGGGGGGGGCAAGCGUUGUUCGGAAUUACUGGGCGUAAAGGGUUUGUAGGUGGCUUGCUAAGUCAGACGUGAAAUCCCUCAGCUUAACUGGGGAACUGCGUCUGAUACUGGCGAGCUUGAGCGCAGGAGAGGAACGCGGAAUUCCAGGUGUAGCGGUGAAAUGCGUAGAUAUCUGGAGGAACACCGGUGGCGAAGGCGGCGUUCUGGACUGCAACUGACACUGAAAAACGAAAGCCAGGGGAGCAAACGGG
rnacentral:rRNA from 1 species